UCAUACACUGGCCAACUGGCCAUUAUAAAUUAAAUUUUAUUUGUGGUCAAACACCGUGAAAAAUACGCGCUAAAUAUGAGGUGAUAAAAUCUACAAGAUUCAGUGAAUGUUUCAGGUAAAGGACAUGGCUCAUUGUCAUUACUUAACAUAUCUUCAUUCUAUUCUGUGUCUGAUUGAAUUAACGAUGCCUAAGUACUUUAAAAGAUAGAAAAACUGUUAAUAAUUAUUGACAUUCUGACUUUGUUUAUGGUGUCAUUAAAUUUGCAAGUUGUAAUUACCGGUAAUAGGGCCUAUAGGCUGUAUGCCACUAUGUAAAUUGAAAAAAAAAUACGUUUGCUGAUCAAUGCCCCACCUUCAAAUGAAAAGUGUCUCGGAAAUGAGUCUAAAAAUUAUGGCAUGUAUGGUCAUUGUAUUGACGGCAAAAACAACGGAAUUACACGAAAUUAUGAGAAUCGAGCACAUGUUGCUGACGUAGUACACUGGUUUAUUGCGUAGUACACAGAUUUAUUACGUAGUACACAGGUCUAUUAAGCGCGCAAUAUUCAAUAUUCAAAGACGGCAAAAACUUCGUCUCAUAUCUAAUAUCAUCUCCCCAAUAAAGACAUACAACAAGAAAAGUGAAAUUGCUCAAGCAAAUUAUCAGAAGAAGACCUUCAAAGCUGCAAUCGGUGAAAUUCACUGUCCUGCUGACAGUGUCAAAUGUGAAAGUGAAUCGAAAAUGCAGGAACUGCUGGGGGUUGUGUGGUUGAGGCUAGAUCUGACGGAUGGGAGGAUGAGUGCAGAAGCCUGCGUAGAAAGAUUCGACGCAUGGAGGAGCCAAUUACUGCUUUAGAGAGUCAGAAUACAAAAGUGGAGGACCCCGAAUUAUAAGCUGUGGAACAUCUUAGUGAUACUCAAGAAGUCUUGGUUACAAUAGCAAAGACUAUCUUCACUGUGGAGGAACUUAGAACCCACUCUAGGACUGGAAAGAUGACCAAUAAGUGUAAGGAUUCCCCGAGACCACCACUUGAACCCUCGAAACUGAGCAAUCUUGAAAGACUAGUGAGGAGGAAAACCGGUGUAUCAAAAGAAGUAUUUAAUAAAAAACUAGAGACUUUGCAAAAGGUCAUCAGAAGGAAAUAAAUCACAAAAUAAGUGAAACAUUGGAAACUGUUCUAAUUUCAAGUUCUUGAUUUUUGCACUU